CAGCCGCCACGGGAAUACGGAGGGAGCUAGCGUUGUUCGGAAUUACUGGGCGUAAAGCGCACGUAGGCGGCUAUUCAAGUCAGGGGUGAAAGCCCGGGGCUCAACCCCGGAACUGCCUUUGAAACUAGAUAGCUUGAAUCUUGGAGAGGCGAGUGGAAUUCCGAGUGUAGAGGUGAAAUUCGUAGAUAUUCGGAAGAACACCAGUGGCGAAGGCGACUCGCUGGACAAGUAUUGACGCUGAGGUGCGAAAGCGUGGGGAGCAAACAGGAUUAGAUACCCGCGUAGUCCCUGUCUCUUAUAC
rnacentral:rRNA from 1 species